CCUACGGGUGGCAGCAGUAGGGAAUUUUCGGCAAUGGGGGGAACCCUGACCGAGCAACGCCGCGUGAACGAAGAAGUUAUUCGUAAUGUAAAGUUCUUUUUACAGGGAAGAAAGAGAAUUUUGACGGUACCUGACGUUUCAGCUGCGGCUAACUACGUACCAGCGGCGGCGGGAAUACGUAGGGCGCGAGCGAUAUCGGGUAUUCAGGGGUGUACAGGAUGCGUAGAUGGCAUAGAAAGUCUAUGGUAAAAAGGCUGGGGUAAAUCCAGUAGUGCAAAAGAGACUGGGAAGCUGGAGUGAGACAGAGGCGAGUGGAACUACAUGUGUAGCGGUAAAAUGCGUAAAUAUAUGUAAGAACACCAGUGGCGAAGGCGGCUUUCUGGGUCGAUACUGACAUUGAGGCACGAAAGCGUGGGGAGCAAACAGGAUUAGAUACCCUAGUAGUC
rnacentral:rRNA from 1 species